GAUGAACGCUGGCGGCGUACCUAAUACAUGCAAGUCGAGCGAACAGACGAGGAGCUUGCUCCUCUGACGUUAGCGGCGGACGGGUGAGUAACACGUGGAUAACCUACCUAUAAGACUGGGAUCACUUCGGGAAACCGGAGCUAAUACCGGAUAAUAUAUUGAACCGCAUGGUUCAAUAGUGAAAGACGGUUUUGCUGUCACUUCUAGAUGGAUCCGCGCCGCAUUAGCUAGUUGGUAAGGUAACGGCUUACCAAGGCAACGAUGCGUAGCCGACCUGAGAGGGUGAUCGGCCACACUGGAACUGAGACACGGUCCAGACUCCUACGGGAGGCAGCAGUAGGGAAUCUUCCGCAAUGGGCGAAAGCCUGACGGAGCAACGCCGCGUGAGUGAUGAAGGUCUUCGGAUCGUAAAACUCUGUUAUUAGGGAAGAACAAAUGUGUAAGUAACUAUGCACGUCUUGACGGUAACUAAUCAGAAAGCCACGGCUAACUACGUG
rnacentral:rRNA from 1 species